GAUGAAGAACGUAGCGAAAUGCGAUACUUGGUGUGAAUUGCAGAAUCCCGUGAACCAUCGAGUCUUUGAACGCAAGUUGCGCCCGAAGCCAUUAGGCCGAGGGCACGCCUGCCUGGGCGUCACACGUCGUUGCCCCCCCAUCUACUCCUUCGGGAUUGCGGGGGGCGGAUGAUGGCCUCCCGUGCGCCUCGUCGCGCGGUUGGCAUAAAUGCCAAGUCCUCGGCGACGCACGCCACGACAAUCGGUGGUCGCGAAACCUCGGUUGCCCGUCGUGUGCGGUCGUCGCGCAUCGAGGGCUCGAAAAAAUUGCCGGGCUCCGGCUCGGCUUUCAACGCGACCCCAGGUCAGGCGGGGUUACCCGCUGAAUUUAAGCAUAUCAAUAAGCGGAGGA
rnacentral:misc_RNA from 1 species